GAUAAUAAACCCAUCAAUAGAUAUAGUGCGUGGCUGUUUACAGACUAAGUACUAUAUCUAUUAGAUGGGUAAACAGACAUGAGCAAAACAGGGCGUAGCCCGAUUUGCGAAUGUAUGUUGUGAUUUCGGGAGUUCGCAGAACUCAGAAAUUACGAUAUAAUA
rnacentral:sRNA from 1 species